CUGGCGGCGUGCCUAAUACAUGCAAGUCGAACGCACUCUCGUUUAGAUUGAAGGAGCUUGCUCCUGAUUGAUAAACAUUUGAGUGAGUGGCGGACGGGUGAGUAACACGUGGGUAACCUGCCCUAAAGUGGGGGAUAACAUUUGGAAACAGAUGCUAAUACCGCAUAAAACCUAACACCGCAUGGUGUAGGGUUGAAAGAUGGUUUCGGCUAUCACUUUAGGAUGGACCCGCGGUGCAUUAGUUAGUUGGUGAGGUAAAGGCUCACCAAGACCGUGAUGCAUAGCCGACCUGAGAGGGUAAUCGGCCACACUGGGACUGAGACACGGCCCAGACUCCUACGGGAGGCAGCAGUAGGGAAUCUUCCACAAUGGACGAAAGUCUGAUGGAGCAACGCCGCGUGAGUGAAGAAGGUUUUCGGAUCGUAAAACUCUGUUGUUGGAGAAGAAUGUAUCUGAUAGUAACUGAUCAGGUAGUGACGGUAUCCAACCAGAAAGCCACGGCCAACUACGUG
rnacentral:rRNA from 1 species